rnacentral:rRNA from 1 species
AGUGAACGCUGGCGGCGUGCUUAACACAUGCAAGUCGAACGAGAACGGAUUAUAGCUUGCUAUAAUUGUCAGCUAAGUGGCGCACGGGUGAGUAAUGUAUAGGUAAUAUGCCUCUUACUAAGGGAUAACAAAUGGAAACGUUUGCUAAUACCUUAUACUCCUUAUUAACAGAAGUUAAUAAGGGAAAGAUUUAUUGGUAAGAGAUUAGCCUGUAUUGUAUCAGUUAGAUGGUGGGGUAAUGGCUUACCAAGACUAUGACACAUAACUGGUUUGGAAUGAUGAGCAGUCACACUGGAACUGAGAAACGGUCCAUACUCCUACGGGAAGCAGCAGUGGGGAAUAUUGCACAAUGGACGAAAGUCUGAUGCAGCAACGCCGCGUGGAGGAUGACACAUUUCGGUGCGUAAACUCCUUUUAUAUGAGAAGAUAAUGGCGGUAUUAUAUGAAUAAGCACCGGCUAACUCCGUGCCUGCCGCCGCGGUAAAAC